UGAGUAACCUGCCCUUGACUCUGGGAUAAGCCUGGGAAACUGGGUCUAAUACCGGAUAUGACUCCUCAUCGCAUGGUGGGGGGUGGAAAGCUUUUUGUGGUUUUGGAUGGACUCGCGGCCUAUCAGCUUGUUGGUGAGGUAAUGGCUCACCAAGGCGACGACGGGUAGCCGGCCUGAGAGGGUGACCGGCCACACUGGGACUGAGACACGGCCCAGACUCCUACGGGGGGCAG
rnacentral:rRNA from 1 species